CGAGCUGCUCGCUCCCUCCUUCGUCGCCGCUGGCGGGGUGGGGGAGGGGAGCUGCUGGAGUUGCAGGGGGCGGUUGACCCGGAGCCUGGCCAGGCUCUUCAGCGCGUUGGGGCCGCUGCGUCCCCAGGGGCCGCCCAGGGCCGGUCACCGCCGCCCAGAGAUCAUGGCGCCGACAAGGGCUGAGCGCGCAGCGCGUCCCGCUGGGCCAUGUCUCAUGGCACAAGGAAGCGGCGCUGUCCGAAGCUUGCGCCGCAGGGGGCCCACAGGGCUGUGCCCCGGGAGGGGAGCGAGCGGAUUGCGGGCGCUGGAAGAAAAAACAGGACAAACAUACAAAAGCAGAGAGAAAAGGACAGCAAAGAUACACAAUGCAGCUUCUGCCUCUGGGAGAAGCAGACAGGGAGCAGCAGUGCUGUAAGAAGCUUUGGGCCAGGUAUGAAAAAUCAGCAUCAUACCUAGAAACUACUCAUCUAAAACCCCAGAUAUCUCUUCUCUGAACCCUCUG